CCUACGGGAGGCAGCAGUGAGGAAUAUUGGUCAAUGGGCGCGAGCCUGAACCAGCCAAGUCGCGUGAGGGAAGACGGUCCUAUGGAUUGUAAACCUCUUUUGUCGGGGAGCAAAAGACGCCACGCGUGGCGUUCCGAGAGUACCCGAAGAAAAAGCAUCGGCUAACUCCGUGCCAGCAGCCGAGGUAAUACGGAGGAUGCGAGCGUUAUCCGGAUUGAUUGGGUUGAAAGGGUGCGCAGGCGGAAGAGCAAGUCAGCGGUAAAAUUGAGAGGCUCAACCUCUUCGAGCCGUUGAAACUGGUUUUCUUGAGUGAGUGAGAAGUAUGCAGAAUGCGUGGUGUAGCGGUGAAAUGCGUAGAUAUUAGGAGGAACACCAGUGGCGAAGGCGGCCUACUGGGCUUUAACUGACGCUGAGGCACGAAAGCGUGGGUAGCAAACAGGAUUAGAUACCCCAGUAGUC
rnacentral:rRNA from 1 species